UACGUAGGGUGCAAGCGUUAAUCGGAAUUACUGGGCGCAAAGCGUGCGCAGGCGGUUUUGUAAGUUUGUCGUGAAAGCCCCGGGCUCAACCUGGGAAUGGCGAUGAAGACUGCAAGGCUUGAAUCUGGCAGAGGGGGGUAGAAUUCCACGUGUAGCAGUGAAAUGCGUAGAGAUGUGGAGGAACACCGAUGGCGAAGGCAGCCCCCUGGGUCAAGAUUGACGCUCAUGCACGAAAGCGUGGGGAGCGAACAGG
rnacentral:rRNA from 1 species